CAGAGCACGAGGAGCUGCUGGCGGGGGGCUUGGCCGCUGACCCACGAGAGAAUUGCAUCUCUUAUCCUGGAGCAACGCAUCUAUAAACACAGAGACAGUCAUCUGAGGCUCUUUUUACGAGGCUGAUGGAGUGGAGGGAACCCUUCUCCUUGGCCACCUCUGGCUGUCCCUGGACCGAGACAAGGCCUCAGGGGAGCUCUGAGGGCCAGGCUGAGAGAGACAAUCCCAGGAACAGAGCCCACCAGACCCAUCACCUCGGCCCCAGCCCGGCCCCCACAACCGUGUGGCCUUAGACAAUUUGGCUUCCCUGAGCCCCACUUCCUGCCUGCAAGGAGGAGAUGAUCAUAGAACCAGCUCCCAGGGUAUGAGGAGGACCAGAUGCAGACGGAGCCUGCCCGCUCCCUGUCCAGCAGAGCGGAAGGGCAGAGGGGGUGCUGCCUCCCUCCUGCUGGGAGCCCCAUGCCAAGGCCCACCUGCCCGCUCUUUCCUGCACGAAACAUAGCCAAGUCUGUUGGUGCUGGUGCCAUUUCUAGGUUCAGUUUGUUUAAAGAGCCGUGGAGAAUCAGACACCCACAGUCCUGAAGGAGGCGAGACAGCUCCAGGGUGGGACGUGCCUCCUGCUGUCUCCCCAAACACUUCGCUCUCGGAGGCCCGGCGAGAUGGCUCCAGGGUGGGACGUGCCUCCCGCUGUCUCCCCAGAUACUUCACUCUCGGUGACCUCCCUGGCCUCUCUCCAUUCUCCACACUGCAGCCGGUGGCCUGCGUUCAUCCUGACAGCCCUCAGCGGCCGCCACUGGCCUCUCCCCUGGCCUUUCUCUGUCCCCCACA
rnacentral:lncRNA from 1 species